rnacentral:piRNA from 1 species
GUUGAUGGUACUGGAGAAGGACUGC